UACGUAGGGGGCAAGCGUUGUCCGGAAUUAUUGGGCGUAAAGCGCGCGCAGGCGGUUCUUUAAGUCUGGUGUUUAAACCAUGGGCUCAACUUAUGGUCGCACUGGAAACUGGGGAACUUGAGUGCAGAAGAGGAGAGUGGAAUUCCACGUGUAGCGGUGAAAUGCGUAGAUAUGUGGAGGAACACCAGUGGCGAAGGCGACUCUCUGGGCUGUAACUGACGCUGAGGCGCGAAAGCGUGGGGAGCAAACAGG
rnacentral:rRNA from 1 species